GUCAGAGUUUGAUCACUGCUGACUUUCUCAGUUCCUUGGUGUAACGCGUGUUUAGGACAAGGCGCUCUGACUACAGAAGAGAUGUUAGUUUUGAAAAGCCCAGAGUGUGUGAAUUAAAACACAGCAACCCAGUAAAAGAACCAAUUGAUUGUUUUGACCAAACAAACACAGUAUUAAACAUAAAGGGUUCUGUCCUGGAGUUUGGGUGUCCAGAUCCUUUCAAUCCCUGAUGAAGUUUUUUGUCCAAGUUCUGUUCAUUUGUCCUUCCUGAAGGUUCCUUUCAAGUUCAGCUGUCCUCCCUGAAGGGUCUUACACUGGUAGCUCGCCAUCAGAAGAAGCAUAUUUUUUUGCCAUCCAGAAAAAAACAAAAAAAAAAACUGAUUGAAGAGCAGGUCGGAAAUGUAUUUACUUCCUGGUGUGAACGAGUGUUUUUGUUUUUCUUGGUACGGCAGAGAUGCACAGUUUCCAUAACCAGCAGCCAGAGCACGUCCAACCACAGCAAAGCAGCAGUGCUAGCAGCAGGAAGGGGAAGCAGGAAGUGGUCUGGUGUUUUUAACAGGAUGUGGCCCUCCAAAAUAAAGGCACAGCCAGGUUGUGCAGACAGUGAGACCAGAAGUGAUUUUUUUGUGUGUGCUGUAUGUGUUUUCACUGGUAUGUGAGCAUUUAUUUUGAUUAGAAAUAUUUUAUUAUCCUUUGCUUUUUCUUAUUUUAUUCGUAUUUACUUUCAGUAUAUUGUAAUGUACAGUUUUGUUAUUUACUUCAAUAUUUUGUGAUUUAAAAAAAUAUAAAAAUGCCAUUUGCUGAAAAAAAAUGUUAAAAGACUUUAAACUAUAUGAUCACGCUGUAAAUUUUAUUUAAUGUAAUUUUGAAGUAUGUACAAUUCAGUCUCUGGGGGAACGGCCGAGAGGAGGUUGUGCAGACAGUGAGACCAGAAGUGAUUUUUUUGUGUGCUGUAUGUGUUUUCACAGGUAUGUGAGCAUUUAUUUUGAUUAGAAAUAUUUUAUUAUCCUUUGCUUUUUCUUAUUUUAUUCGUAUUUACUUUCAGUAUAUUGUAAUGUACAGUUUUGUUAUUUACUUCAAUAUUUUGUGAUU